GAUGAACGCUGGCGGCGUGCCUAAUACAUGCAAGUCGAGCGAACAGACGAGGAGCUUGCUCCUCUGACGUUAGCGGCGGACGGGUGAGUAACACGUGGAUAACCUACCUAUAAAACUGGGAUAACUUCGGGAAACCGGAGCUAAUACCGGAUAAUAUAUUGAACCGCAUGGUUCAAUAGUGAAAGACGGUUUUGCUGUCACUUAUAGAUGGAUCCGCGCCGCAUUAGCUAGUUGGUAAGGUAACGGCUUACCAAGGCAACGAUGCGUAGCCGACCUGAGAGGGUGAUCGGCCACACUAGAACUGAGACACGGUCCAGACUCCUACGGGAGGCACCAGUAGGGAAUCUUCCGCAAUGGGCGAAAGCUUGACGGAGCAACGCCGCGUGAGUGAUGAAGGUCUUCGGAUCGUAGAACGCUGUUAUUAGGGAAGAACAAAUGUGUAAGUAACUAUGCACGUCUUGACGGUACCUAAUCAGAAAGCCACGGCUAACUACGUG
rnacentral:rRNA from 1 species